rnacentral:rRNA from 1 species
AGUGAACGCUGGCGGUAGGCCUAACACAUGCAAGUCGAACGGCAGCACAGUAAGAGCUUGCUCUUACGGGUGGCGAGUGGCGGACGGGUGAGGAAUACAUCGGAAUCUACUUUUUCGUGGGGGAUAACGUAGGGAAACUUACGCUAAUACCGCAUACGACCUACGGGUGAAAGCAGGGGAUCUUCGGACCUUGCGCGAUUGAAUGAGCCGAUGUCGGAUUAGCUAGUUGGCGGGGUAAAGGCCCACCAAGGCGACGAUCCGUAGCUGGUCUGAGAGGAUGAUCAGCCACACUGGAACUGAGACACGGUCCAGACUCCUACGGGAGGCAGCAGUGGGGAAUAUUGGACAAUGGGCGCAAGCCUGAUCCAGCCAUGCCGCGUGGGUGAAGAAGGCCUUCGGGUUGUAAAGCCCUUUUGUUAGGGAAGAAAAGCAGCAUAAUAAUACCCCGCUGUUCUGACGGUACCCAAAGAGUAAGCACCGGCUAACUUCGUG